GAAUGUGAAGGGGAAAGCUACAAUCUAGGUAGGGAACAGGACAUUAUCUUUUUUUUCUGUUGAAGAAUAAACAGAGGCCUAAGACUUUAAAGAGGUUUGCCCUCACUAUACCAGUGGACUGUGUUUAUAAUUCUGGAAACAGCUGGAGGGAAUAUUACAAGACUAGAACUGUCCCAUUUUCCUGAAGAUAUUGAGAUCCAGGAAAAACGGGUUCCAUUAAUGUUUUUAUCUAAAAAUCUGUUCAUUAUCAGUCAUCCGUGCAGCUGGACCUUCUGUCAAUCCAUUUCCAACAGAUGUCAGAAAUUCAGCAGAGGUACAGGAGGAUACAGAUAGACUAUUCGUGCUCUGAACCUAAUCAUUAAAGCUCAGGUAUUAUGGUACAUCACCUACCUGCAAUAUCUGGGCACAAUGAGCUGUAAACAGGGAUGGAGAAUCAGUAACCAAUCGAACAGAGAUGGAGGCAAUCUGCAGGGAUUUCUAUACUCAGCUGUUUGCAUCACGUAUAGACGUCCCAAUGCCAUCACUUCAACAAAUGGAUGAACACAUACUCCUGGUUCUCAUUAGCAAAGUCCGCCACACAGUCCAUCAAAUGAAAGAAGGGAAAGCUUCAGCCUACCAUGCAAGGUGCCCUGAAGAUCAAUAGAAUGUGGCUCUGGUAGCCCAGGGAAGAGUAAGUUACAAAGUCAUGGGCCCUCUGUUGUGAACCUCUUUCUCCAAACAAACAUAACUAAGGACCAUCAGCUUGAGCUUUCCACUUGGCCUAAGUUGCACCUUAGAGAGAGGAGCAUCCUUGGCAGCUGAUUACAUCCUUCCUCCAUGCAAGAGAAUAGCUGGUGGUAGUCCUGCAUUUACUGGCCUUCGCCCUGCCUAGCCACAAAAACUCCAUGUGCAUUGAAGCACAGGGAGACCCAAAUCCUGCCCUUCCUCUUUCUGCAAUGGAGAUGCUCUGGUUCAGGCCCAUCCCCACCUAGAGAAGACCAGCAGGAUUUGGCCUCUGUACAGAUUUCAUAAUACUAUCGUAUAAGCCUGGAUUUAGACUGUUUGGUACUCUUUCUAUUCUGGAUAUCCAUUAAUAAAGCCUCCCUCACCAACACCCAAAUACUGCAGCAGAGCUUCAUUAAACAAACCUCUUUAUACAAGAUGUAAGGAAGAGGGAUUUGAUCUAUGAAAAGCUUGAAUGGGCCUGGAAACUGAGUAUUAACCUGAUUUAGAAGACUUGAACCAAGCCUUGAACCCAUGGAAACACCACUCCAAGGCACUGCUCAGAGGACCAGACCUUUUGAUGAAUGUCAGUUGAGAGCACUCAACACCUCCUAAGAUAGGUGAGGAGAUGUAUCUUUGGACGUUCCAGUGUAUCUGCAGUUUGACACCCGUGUAGCAUUUGGUUUAUACUCUGGAAUUUUGUAGUGCUAGAAAAUAGCUUCCUCAUUUUCAGUGUUGAGGGUCAUACCUACUUAUGCAGUAAAUAACUCUGUACAUUCAGAGAUCUUUCUGGCUGUCAGCUUGAUGCCUGGUCAUUAAUGUGACUAUGAAAAAGAAUUGCAGUGUGACAGCAUGGUCCAUUACCAGAAAUCAGGUUUUGUGAAAGACCUUUCUGCUCACUUGGGCUGCAGUUUGUAAUUACCAUGGUAAUCUGUUGUGAAAUGUUAACCCUCUAGUACAUCAGAGUCGUCAACAAUGGAUUACUCUACUUAGUCACCUCCCAGCCACACCUCCUUGUGUGCAGCAAUGCUCACAAUAAAAAGCAAACUUUAGUAGUCAUAAGAAAACAACAUAAUCUGAUUCACAUCAGAGAAGACUGGCAAAUAACUUUCAUUUUUCCUGUUUGCAAAAAAAUUCUUACCACCACCCACAGCUAGUUUAACUCUCCACAGGAAGAUUUGGAACACUGUCCGUAUCUUAUUUUCCUCUCUCUACAUUUUAUCAUUUACUAAACCCUCAAAACAGGUGUUACUCUUACUUCCACCUUCCUUAGAAAUGGUGGGCUAGAUCCUCCGCUAAAGUCAAUG